UCUGUGGUAGAACAAAGUGUGGGCAGAGGUUCUUAGAACAGCAUUUCAGUGUGGUCUUGCCUACAUAAGAGAAGCGAAGAGGAGAGGCAAUUAUCCGUAAGAUUCAGCAACGGCUCUCCUCCCCACAGAGUCUGCCUUAAGUGAAAGAACUCGAAAGGCUGUGGAGUGUGCCAUCACGGCCUGAGAACCUGAGGGCUGUGCAGAGUCUAAAAGCUGAAGUCUGGGGCUACCAUUGACUUUUCAAAGGCCAUUAUCCCAACUUAAGUGUGGAUGACAUGCAGUAUAGUCCUUUCUCCUCCUAUGGUCCUUCAGUAAGGAAAAUACACAGUGAAGAGCCACCAGAAGUGCAUGAAACUAAUGUACAUAAAUUGAAAGUCAGCCGUGUGUGAACACUGUCAAUCAGAGGACUGACCAUUUGAUUGGAUAACCAGUUGAGGAGAUCACCCCCUUGAGAAGACUGAUUUUCCCUCUUUUGACAAUUAUUAAUCGCCUGU